rnacentral:rRNA from 1 species
CCUACGGGAGGCAGCAGUGAGGAAUAUUGGUCAAUGGCCGGAAGGCUGAACCAGCCAAGUCGCGUGAGGGACGACUGCCCUAUGGGUUGUAAACCUCUUUUAUAAGGGAAGAAUAAAUGCUACGUGUAGCAUGAUGCCUGUACCUUAUGAUUAAGCAUCGGCUAACUCCGUGCCAGCAGCCGCGGUAAUACGGAGGAUGCGAGCGUUAUCCGGAUUUAUUGGGUUUAAAGGGUGCGUAGGCGGUUUUUUAAGUUAGUGGUAAAACGUCGGGGCUUCAGCUUGAUGUGCCAUUGAUACUGUAAGACUCGAGUUCAGACGAGGUAGGCGGAAUAAGUUAAGUAGCGGUGAAAUGCUUAGAUAUAACUUAGAACUCCGAUAGCGAAGGCAGCUUACCAGACUGCGACUGACGCUGAAGCACGAGAGCGUGGGUAGCGAACAGGAUUAGAUACCCCAGUAGUC